rnacentral:tRNA from 1 species
GGGUUUAUAGCUCAGUUGGUUAGAGCGCAUCGUUGACAUCGAUGAGGUCGGCAGUUCGAAUCUGCCUAAACCCA